rnacentral:rRNA from 1 species
GGCAGACGGGUGAGUAACGCGUGGGAACCUGCCCAGUAGUAGAGAAUAACUUGAGGAAACUUAAGCUAAUACUUUAUACACCCUCCGGGGAAAAGCUUUAUGCGCUAUUGGAUGGGCCCGCGUUAGAUUAGUUUGUUGGUGAGGUAAUGGCUCACCAAGACUGCGAUCUAUAGCUGGUCUGAGAGGAUGAUCAGCCACACUGGGACUGAGACACGGCCCAGACUCCUACGGGAGGCAGCAGUGGGGAAUAUUGGACAAUGGGGGCAACCCUGAUCCAGCGAUGCCGCGUGAGUGAUGAAGGCCUUCGGGUUGUAAAACUCUUUCGUCAGGGAAGAUAAUGACGGUACCUGAAGAAGAAGAUCCGGCUAACUCCGUGCCAGCAGCCGCGGUAAUACGGAGGGAUCUAGCGUUAUUCGGAAUUACUGGGCGUAAAGCGAGCGUAGGCGGAUUUGUAAGUUGGAGGUGAAAUCCCAGAGCUUAACUCUGGAACUGCCUUCAAAACUACAUUUCUUGAGUUUGGUAGAGGAGAGUGGAAUUCCUAGUGUAGAGGUGAAAUUCGUAGAUAUUAGGAGGAACACCAGUGGCGAAGGCGACUCUCUGGGCCAAUACUGACGCUGAGGUUCGAAAGCAUGGGUAGCGAACAGGAUUAGAUACCCUGGUAGUCCAUGCAGUAAACGAUGAGUGCUAGAUGUUGGGAAUUUAAAUUUCCAGUAUCG